AAUGUUACCAAUAUAACUAACUAUUCCUUCAUAUACAGAACCAAAGGGAAAAAAACUCUUGAAUUCAAGAAAAAAUGUAUCAUUGAUGAGUUGCAAAAGUGAGAAUGCCUGAACACUUCUCAACAGCAUCUGGAGCCCAGGGAAGAGAAGAAGGGAACGAUUUGCAUCUGGCUUAGGCAUCUCAAAAUGAAUGGAUGAAAAAUGCAAGAGCAGUAGCAAGCUGUGUACUGUCAGCAAUGAUGAAAAUAACAAAUGAGCAUGUGUAGUCCAUUAUACACAUUUUACAGUAUCCAGCUCUCUUUGUGAACCAACAUUCCUGUGGACUAGGAUAGCUGACCAUUUUCCAAUCAGGAGGACUGAGGCAUGAGUAAAUUUCAACCAUUUCCCUAAACAUUUUUUAUGGAAAUUGACAAAUAAAACUAUGCUUUAUAGAUGGUAAUUCCCAGGACAAUUCUGAGAGGGUGGAAAAAGGAGGUGUGGGACUAAUACUACAAAAUUCCUAACAGAUGUUUAGUAAGUUUAGUCAGAAACUGGAGGUUAUGAGACCUACAGCUCCCAUUCUCCAACCCCUUGAUCCUUCUCUGCUCUCUUGAAACUUUGAGCGACUGUUAGGACAUUAAUAAGAAAACCAGAAUAGGUAAUUAUUUAAAUAGAUUAAAAAUGUUUGAGAGAGCCCAAAUUGUACUUAUCCUUCAAAAAUAGCUUCAAUCCUGCCUACCCUGAGACUUUCCCAAGCCACUUUAGCCUAAGUGCAUGUGUUGUCCUCUGAACUUUUCUAGAACCUAUUGCCGUCACCACUCAUUGUGAUAAAGACAACUAAUCACAUUAUCUUGUAUCAACUCACCUUUUUCUAGAUUUUUGUUCCUUUGUACAUUUUUUUUAGCUUUUCACAUAUUUUUACAUCUUCUCUAAGUCUAGACAUUAAGGUCCUUGAGAUCAGAGACUUUCUUUUGCUUUUUAAUGUCUCUUCUGAUACUUACUUAAUGACUUUCACAUAUAGAAGUUCUUAGUAUAAAUGUGUUCACUAAUUGAGAAUAAUCAGGAAUUAAGAAAUAUGGAAACUACCAAAAACAAAUGAAUAUUCCGUUGGUACUCUAAAGAUAUUGAACGAGACCAGAAAAAUGAAAGUACAUAAUAAACAGGCAUGGACUUUUGG
rnacentral:lncRNA from 10 species